UACAGAGACUGCAAGCGUUAUUCGGAUUCACUGGGCGUAAAGGGUGCGCAGGCGGCUAGGUGUGUCAGAUGUGAAAUCCCGAGGCUCAACCUCGGAACUGCGUCUGAAACUACUUGGCUAGAGUACUGGAGAGGGUAACGGAAUUCACGGUGUAGCAGUGAAAUGCGUAGAUAUCGUGAGGAACACCAGAGGCGAAGGCGAAUCUCUGGACAGUUACUGACACUGAGGCACGAAGGCCAGGGGAGCAAACGGG
rnacentral:rRNA from 1 species